CCGCGGCCGCAGAACCUGCCCGCUCUGCACACCAGGGCGGACACCCACAGACGCGUCCUUCACCCGCGCAGGGACCUGCCAGGGGCGCUUAUACCGGAGGGUGUUCAGAGCAGGAAAGGAAGAGAUCAAAUCUGAACCCGGAUCCGUCUCCUACAGAACCUGAGUCGCUCAAUCAUCAGCUAGAUCGCCCCGUGUAGACAAAGCAAGUGGAAUUAUUUGAAGAGUAUACCUUGAGCUGGGCAAUCCUCAUAGAAGGUCGGGGACGACCUGCCCUUCAGUGUUCCUGGAGCAUCUUCUCCAAAGUGGAGGUCGAGCCAGGCCUAGGAGGAAAGAGAGGGCAACUGCGGACGACCCCACCGCAGAAGAGGUGAAACCGACGGGCUCCAGGGCUUUUUCACUCAUUCCCUAGGCAUGUGGGACCUCGAAGAUGCCGAAUCAGCUAAACGGGAGGUGGCUUGAGUAGGAUUUGCUGCCAGCUAAAGCGUGAGAUGCUAUUGCAUGUGCAAGGCAAGGCUUUCUUCAGCGGCAUCAUCUUCCAAAAUAGCCCAGUGAGCAUGCCUUUCUCCUGAAAAAUAAAAAAUAGUUGGUGUUUACUGCAAUCGUAUGGCAAAUACUGUGUUGAGAGAUUAAUUUACAUGAACUCAUAGAACCCUCAGGGCAAGUUUAUGAGAUUCCCUUAAGUUAUUCUGAUGCAGACCCAGGCCUGAGAACCACAGCCUCUCUGCCCACCACAUGAUGUCACCAUCCAUAAAAC
rnacentral:lncRNA from 1 species